rnacentral:rRNA from 1 species
AUUGAACGCUGGCGGCAGGCUUAACACAUGCAAGUCGAACGAGUGGCGGACGGGUGAGUAAUGCUUGGGAAUCUGGCUUAUGGAGGGGGAUAACGACGGGAAACUGUCGCUAAUACCGCGUACCAUAGGAUGAGCCCAAGUGGGAUUAGGUAGUUGGUGGGGUAAUGGCCUACCAAGCCGACGAUCUCUAGCUGGUCUGAGAGGAUGACCGUCCACAGCGUGACUGAGACACGGCACGGAGUCCUGCGGGAGGCAGCAGUGGGGAAGAGUGCGCAAUGGGGGCAACCUGACGCAGCCAUGCCGCGUGAAUGAAGAAGGCCUGCGGGUUGUAAAGGUCUUUCGGUGACGAGGCGUUAAUCACAGAAGAAGCACCGGCUAACUCCGUGCCAGCAGCCGCGGUAAUUC